rnacentral:rRNA from 1 species
AUUGAACGCUGGCGGCAGGCCUAACACAUGCAAGUCGAGCGAGCGGCGGACGGGUGAGUAAUGUAUGGGGACUGCCUGAUAGAGGGGGAUAACUACUGGAAACGGUGGCUAAUACCGCAUACAUUCGGAUGACCCAUAUGGGAUUAGCUUGUAGGUGGGGUAAAGGCUCACCUAGGCGACGAUCGCUAGCUGGUCUGAGAGGAUGAUCAGCCACACUGGGACUGAGACACGGUCCAGACUCCUACGGAGGCAGCAGUGGUGAAUAUUGCACAAUGGGCGCAAGCCUGAUGCAGCCAUGCCGCGUGUAUGAAGAAGGCCUUAGGGUUGUAAAGUACUUUCAGCUGGGAGGCGUUACCCGCAGAAGAAGCACCGGCUAACUCCGUGCCAGCCGCCGCGGUAAUAC